CCGCCCCGAACCCUGCCAUUCCGCCGGCUUUUCCACAGUGCCAAGUACUACGCGUGCGCACACCCGAACUAGCCGUCCCAGGAGGCCCCGCGUGGUUUCCAUGGCGACGCCCGCGCUUCCUUAAGUCCAGGGUGGAGGCAGCUGCGGGAGCAGCGCGGAGCAGGGUUUUAUGAAAUAUAGUCUUUGUUUAAAAAAGAGACUAGAACAUGUCAAAAAGUCUUACCUUGGAAACUUCAUGAGUCCCACAGUGAAGAGUGCUCUGCAUGCAACAUACAGUUCAUCUCCAGACACCUUAGGGAAUGAAUUUGAGAAAGAGCAACAGACAGCCACGUGCAGCUCCAGGUCUGUCUUCUUGAAUACAAUCUGUUAUACGUUGCUCCAGCACUUCCUGCAGUUACCUGGCUUGCCAGGCCCUCUGUGAGAGAAGCAUGAAAAGUACUUUUCAACCAAGCUCACCAGAAUGCCAGCACUAGGAGAGAGACACGAGGCGAUCAUCAGAGUGAAGGGUCAUCAUCAGCUACAUACCUGAAGGCCAGCCUGUGCAACACAGGACUUAGUCUUAAAACUCACUGUUCAAGCCUGAAUUUGGUUCCCAGAACCCACUGUGGAAGGACAGAACUGACUCCUAAACAUAGUCUUCUGAGCCCCCACCCCAAACACACACAAAAAGAUUGUGCACACGAAACUUUCUUUAAAAGUAAAAAAUGUUAGAAGAUAAACUCUGUUGAAUGAAUUCUUUGUGUAACAGUAUUAGUUGGAAAGACUUGUUUCCCUUCACAGAACUGCGGGGCUCGAGAAUGCUAGCUAAGCAUGUGCUCACGCGCUCAAGGCCACUGAGCUGCGUCCCAAGCGCAGAGCCUCUUUAAAGAGUGCUGUAAAGUAGGGGAACUUUUUCUUCUCUGAGAAGGAGGAGGACAGGCAGGCAGAUAGACAGACAGACACUCUGUACCCGGGCCAGUCUAGAUAUCACUAUGAAACCCCUAUUAGCCUUAAGCUCAGAGCAGUCUUCCUGCCUCGGCUUCCUUCGGGGAAGAGGCAGUUGCAAGCACAGGACACCAUGCCGGGUCAGAGAGCAGCUUCAGUUGAAGGGAUCAGCAGGGACAACUGGCCAAACUCGAGGCCGGGGGGCUGGGGGUGAGCAGCCACCAUUGAGGCAAGAAGUUAGGGGCUG
rnacentral:lncRNA from 1 species